GACGAACGCUGGCGGCGUGCUUAACACAUGCAAGUCGAACGAUGAAGAAAAGAAUCGAAGCUUCGGCAGAAAUUCAUUUCGGAUUAGUGGCAGACGGGUGAGUAACGCGUGAGCAACCUACCUCUUACAAAGGGAUAGCCUCGGGAAACCGGGAUUAAUACCAUAUAACAUUGUGACGAAGCAUUUCGAUGCAAUCAAAGCUACGGCGGUAAGAGAUGGGCUCGCGUCCCAUUAACCGGAUGGUGAGGUAACGGCUCACCAUAGUGACGAUGGGUAACCGGACUGAGAGGGUGAACGGUCACACUGGAACUGAGACACGGUCCGGACUCCUACGGGAGGCAGCAGUGGGGAAUAUUGCACAAUGGAGGGAACUCUGAUGCAGCGACGCCGCGUGAGUGAUGAAGGAAUUCGUUUCGUAAAACUCUGUUCUAUGGGAAGAAAAGGACUGUACCAUAGGAGAAAGCUCCGGCUAAAUACGUG
rnacentral:rRNA from 1 species